ACCGGAUGCGGAUCUCGAAAGCCUGUCCCAGUUCGGACUGGAGUCUGCAACCCGACUCCACGAAGUUGGAUUCGCUAGUAAUCGCGCAUCAGCCACGGCGCGGUGAAUACGUUCCCGGGCCUUGUACACACCGCCCGUCAAGCCAUGGGAGCCGGGGGCGCCUGAAGUCCGGGACCGCGAGGACCGGCCUAGGGCGAAACUGGUAACUGGGGCUAAGUCGUAACAAGGUAGC
rnacentral:rRNA from 1 species